GCACGGCCCGUUGCCCAACACUAUCUGUGACUCUGACUUCUUCCUAUAUGUUCUUUUUCUUGGAACAUCAGAACAAGUUUCGGUCAUUCAGCAGCAUAUUUACUUAUCAGUUAAUGGAAGUUCAUUUCUUGUCGCUGAAUUUGUUUAUUCUUGUGUACUUCUUUCUGAGAUCUAGUCUAGGUUGUGGUUCAUGAAAGGGCUGCCCUUGAUUGUCUAGACUUCAAUUCAUGCUAGGAAUAAAUGUAAGAGUCCUGUGCGCUGAUAAGAAGCUCAAGGUUUUCCAGUCCUUCAUGAAUACUUAACAAAAGAAGGCAUAAGGAGAACAAACAAAGAUUUUAGCAAGCACUAAGGUGUUAAAUUGCAGUUUCUUAUAUGCAGAAGUAUAGUUGAACGAGCAGAAACCUUCUCCAUGAAUGCAUAAUUAUUGUUGAGGGCUAUCUUCAUUUCUUAGAACUUAAGGUAUCAAACCAACUCCUUUUUCCAGCCCUUAUUUUGUUCAUUAUCAGUUAACUUAAUGUUAUAAAAUGUCGAGAUCUUACACCAGAGGAAUCUAUAUAGCAGAUACAGGCAACACUAGAAACGCGCUUUGUUAUGCCCCGGUUGAGCUUAAAAGAGGAGAUUAACUGAUAAAGCAAAAGAAAACCAGAGAAUUGUUUUACUACAAUCCAAUCCAAAAGUCUGAGAAAUACAUCACCAUAAUACACUGACAUUCUACUAGAUACAUCACCAUAAUACACUGACAUUCUACUAGACAUAGCUUUGAUAGAACUUCAUCCUUGUCCACAUGACUAGUUCUAAUCAACCUGACAUAACUACUUGCCUCUCUCCAAAGAGAGAGAGAGAGAGAGAGAGAGAGAGAGAGAGAGAUU
rnacentral:lncRNA from 1 species